rnacentral:rRNA from 1 species
GACGAACGCUGGCGGCGUGCCUAAUACAUGCAAGUAGGCCGCAGUUGCGAACGGGUGAGUAACGCGUAGGUAACUACCUAUUAGAGGGGGAUAACUAUUGGAAAAGUUAGCUACUACCGCAUACUCGUAGAUGGACCUGCGUUGUAUUAGCUAGUCGGGAGGGGAAUGGCCUAACUAGGCAACGAUACAUAGCCGACCGGAGAGGGUUAGCGGCCACACUGGGACUGGGAAACGGCCCAGACUCCUACGGGAGGCAGCAGUAGGGAAUCGUCGGCAAUGGGGGGAACCCUGACCGAGCAACGCCGCGUGAGUGAAGAAGGUUUUCGGAUCGUAAAGCUCUGUUGUUAAGGAAGCGGUACUUAACCAGAAAGGGACGGCUAACUACGGGCCAGCAGCCGCGGUAAUUC